AACUCUGCUCUCUCCCUCGCGUCUAAGCCCUAGACUUCUCUCUCUGCUCUCUUUCUCUCGCGUCGAAGCCCGCCUUCUCUGUCUGCUCUCUCUCUCUCGUCUAAGCCCUAGCUUUCUCUCUCUGCUCUCUCUCUGUAGCGUCGAAGCCCUAGCUUUCUCUCUCUGCUCUCUCUCUUUAGAUGAAAAAGAUGCGGACAAGAUGAUGUUAUAGAUUCGAUAUAGUCUCCCUAUUCGAGUUAUCUCUCUGGUUCGCCUCUUUGUUCGAGUUAUCUCUCUGGUUCGCCUCUUUGUUCGAGUUCUCUCUCUGGUUUGGACACGAGAAACAACCAUUUGGAGCCACAGUUUCUUCGAAUUUUAGACGGCUAUACACAUCAAUUUCGAGCAAAAAAUCAAGGGUUUCAAAAUUGCAAGGGAAAUUGCAGAUUUGGAAGAACUUAGGAACGUAUCUUUGUUGUCUGAUAAUUAUUAUCAGCAAGACCUUUCAAACUAUUCUUCAAAUGUCGCGCAACGUUGGGACAUUGGUACUGCUAUUGCACGCUCUAGCUUUCGUGUUAUGGCCAGCAUGAAUCUAUCCACAGAAUUUCAAAUCUAUGGCAAACCCUGGGAGGUCUACAACAACCACAGUCAGCUCUAAUAUGAGUUGUGCAGCAGCUAGCUAGCUAACUUCAAAUCCGGAUGUGAAAGAUAUUGGGUACAUAUAGCGGAUAUGCAACACUACCCAACAACUUAGGCUUUUGAUUUAGAAUUUGGACAUCGAAGAAAACCCUAACCCCUAAUGGUAACAUGGCUCAAAGAAGAAACCCUAGGUCUGGAAUCCUUCUUUGGAGAUGCGAAGGUGUGCUAGGCGAUUUGUGGAUGGCUGUUGCUGCUAGGGUUGAGAGGAAUAGAGCUUUCUCCCUCCAAAAAAACUCGAAGAUAACAGCACUAGUAACACUUGUUUGGGAGAGAGAUGGAAUUUGCCUGACAACAUUUUCAGAUAAUUGUAGUGGUUAGUAGACAAAAUAAUUAAGCAAAUGGUGAUGGAUAAAGAAUGGAUGCACAUGACUUACAGAGUUGAUCCAAAGUAUUUAGAAGGAGCACGGAGGUUUGCUGAUCAGGCGCAAGCGAAUGCGGGCCAUCCAUAAAAGAUUUUAUGCCCUUGUAAUUGUUGUCUAAAUGCAAAGCACCAACACUUCGAAAUGGUGUUUAGGCAUUUAUUGGAAAAUGGAAUGGAUCAAUCAUACACUAUCUGGUACUUUCACGGGGAAAAUUUGAGUGAAUCUCUCCAACAUGGAAGUGAUGUAAAUGACGUUGAAAUGCCAGAGAUGUAUCAGAAUUUCUAUGAUUCCAGUCUACAACAAAGCUAUUUUUUUGGAUUUUAUACCGUGGAUUUUGCAGUUACUUCCUUGGAUUUUGUAUAGUGAGGUGGUUUUCUGACAAGUGCAGACUGAAACUCAAGUGCUAGAAGGUCAAUAAGGUUCAAACGGGCUAAAAACAGUCUACUAAAACCUUAUUGGAGUUAAGUAGAAAAAUCUAGAAAAGGCUCAAAAAAUUACCCUGGAGCAGAAAGAUCGAUCAUAGAUCUCAGCGAUCGCUUGCUGGCCACGUCAUCGUUCGUAGCUACAUCAGCAACCGGAUAAGGUUGCCUCGUCACUAUUCAUUCAAGUAACGAUUGAUUGUAGCUCUAGAGCAAUUGAUCGUAAUGCCACGUCAGUGUUAGCUCAGUGGAUAAGGCAACCAGUUGUCAAGAUAAGACUGUCAUGUUAGAGCGAUCGAUCAUAAACUCUAGCGAUCGUUCAUAAAUUCCAGCGAUCAAUCGUAAACCUACUAGCAGUGAGUUGUUUUAUUCCUGAUUUCGCCUAAUCUUUACCUAACUUAUGACUGCGGGAUUGCAUUAUUUUAGGGCAUGUUUCUGACCCAUUUUGGCCUCCAAAGGUUUUGUAUAAAAGGCAAAAUGAACCAUUUUGUAAAGGGUUAUUCAAUUUUACAUUGUAACUUUUAUAUUUUCA